UGUAGCAAUACAUAGUGGCGGACGGGUGAGUAACACGUAGGUGACCUGCCCUAAAGUUUGGGACAACUAGAAGAAAUUUUAGCUAAUCCUGGAUGUGAACUUCCAUCUUGUUGGACGUUUAAAGCUUCGGCGCUUUAGGAUGGGCCUGCGGUACAUCAGGUAGUUGGCGAGGUAAAGGCUCACCAAGCCGACGACGUAUAACUGGUCUGAGAGGACGAUCAGUCACAGGAGCACUGAGACACGGGCUCCACUUCUACGGAAGGCAGCAGUUAGGAAUCUUCCCCAAUGGGCGAAAGCCUGAGGGAGCAAUACCGCUUGAGGGACGAAGCAUUUCGGUGUGUAAACCUCUGAACUAGGGACGAUAAUGACGGUACCUAGGUAAUAGCACCGGCUAACUCCGUGCCAGCAGCCGCGGUAAUACGGAGGGUGCGAGCGUUACCCGGAUUUACUGGGUGUAAAGGGCGUGUAGGCGGUUUCUCAAGUCCGAUGCUAAAGACCGAAGCUCAACUUCGGGAGUGCG
rnacentral:rRNA from 1 species